rnacentral:rRNA from 1 species
CCUACGGGAGGCAGCAGUGAGGAAUAUUGGUCAAUGGACGAGAGUCUGAACCAGCCAAGUAGCGUGAAGGAUGACUGCCCUAUGGGUUGUAAACUUCUUUUAUAUGGGAAUAAAAUGUUCCACGUGUGGGAUUUUGUAUGUACCAUAUGAAUAAGGAUCGGCUAACUCCGUGCCAGCAGCCGCGGUACUACGGAGGAUCCGAGCGUUAUCCGGAUUUAUUGGGUUUAAAGGGAGCGUAGGUGGAUUGUUAAGUCAGUUGUGAAAGUUUGCGGCUCAACCGUAAAAUUGCAGUUGAAACUGGCAGUCUUGAGUACAGUAGAGGUGGGCGGAAUUCGUGGUGUAGCGGUGAAAUGCUUAGAUAUCACGAAGAACUCCGAUGGCGAAGGCAGUUCACUGGACUGCAACUGACACUGAGGCUCGAAAGUGUGGGUAUCAAACAGGAUUAGAUACCCCAGUAGUC